GCAAUAUGAAGGUCAGGCUCGAAGACCUUACCCGAUUAGCUGAGAGGUGGUGCAUGGCCGUCGUCAGUUCGUACUGUGAAGCAUCCUGUUAAGUCAGGCAACGAGCGAGACCCACGUCCACAGUUGCCAGCAUACCCUCCGGGGUGAUGGGUACACUGUGGAGACCGCCGCUGCUAAAGCGGAGGAAGGAGUGGGCAACGGUAGGUCAGUAUGCCCCGAAUCUCCCGGGCUACACGCGGGCUACAAUGGUUGGUACAAUGGGCAUCUACCCCGAAAGGGGAAGGAAAUCUCUUAAAGCCAAUCGUAGUUCGGAUUGAGGGCUGCAACUCGCCCUCAUGAAGCUGGAAUCCGUAGUAAUCGCGUUUCAACAGAACGCGGUGAAUACGUCCCUGCUCCUU
rnacentral:rRNA from 1 species